rnacentral:rRNA from 1 species
UACGUAGGGUGCAAGCGUUGUCCGGAAUUAUUGGGCGUAAAGGGCUCGUAGGCGGUCCAUCACGUCGGGAGUGAAAAGCUGGGGCUUAACCCCAGUCCUGCUUCCGAUACGGGUGGACUAGAGGUAGGCAGGGGAGAACGGAAUUCCUGGUGUAGCGGUGAAAUGCGCAGAUAUCAGGAGGAACACCGGUGGCGAAGGCGGUUCUCUGGGCCUUACCUGACGCUGAGGAGCGAAAGCGUGGGGAGCGAACAGG